UUCGACACGGCGGGGCGUUUUGAUUUCAAUGGGUGCUUUACCGUCAACUUAACCUGUCUCACUGUACCAUCGGGUUAUUUUGGAGCAUACAUGCUGUCAGCGUUUGUUGGCUUCUUCAACGGAAAUUGUAUGCAACAGUUGGCCAUCUGCAGUGUACUCGCUAAUCUAUUUGUAGGAUGUAUCAGUAAAGAGUUGAGGUACAGACACAUAAACACAAAUACCUUUUGUGUUGGAUUUGCGCCAAAGUCCUCAGGAAACAAUCCCAAUCGCCUUACGAUACCGUUCACAUUCGGAGCAAGGUGAAGGGCAGGUCCGGUCUCAGUAGCAAACCUCGAUUGCUAAAGAUUUGUACACGAUGACCUUGUUUCUGCAGAAGAUUGGCGCUGUCAGACCACCUAUACCAGCUCCGGUGAUUAGGAUCUUCAACCCGGCUUUUUGUUCGAUUCUGUUCGGUGACGCCAUAUUGUUGUUUGUCUGAACGGCUUCGGAUCGAGCAGAACACUAAUAUUGCUGAAAUAUACGAUUGCGAAGAGUUUAAACACUACAGCAACAUAUUCAAUAUAUGAGCACUCGUGCAAAAGCUAUCCUCAUUAGUUUCAUGCGACCUCAGGCAACAAGCAACCUAACCACACGUUGUGCAAUGUGGCAGGUUCGGAUAUGCUCCCUGAUAUCGGGACCACCCUCUUACGAUGUGAAUGGUUUCUCAACCUUACGAUUUUGUCCGAUGUCGCUAGUAUAAAUUUCCCAGGCAAACCAUUUCAUCUAUUUGAUCGGAAUUGGCGGACCUACCCCGCAUCAAUAGUAGUGAGCGGCAUGCAAGAUGAUGGCAGUACAAAGUGCAUUUACGCUCCCGUAAUAUUUUGAGACCUUGAAGCGAUAUCCUGGCGGGGAAGUUGUCUACGUCUUUCGGGUACUCACUUUUUCAGUAAAAUAUGGAUUCAUACAGAUGAUCUUAUCUUUCACGAGGUUACAAUAGGGGUUCAUUCUGCUAUAAAUAAAUUC
rnacentral:lncRNA from 1 species